UACGUAGGGUGCAAGCGUUGUCCGGAAUUAUUGGGCGUAAAGAGCUCGUAGGCGGUCUGUCGCGUCUGCUGUGAAAACUCAGGGCUUAACCCUGAGCUUGCAGUGGGUACGGGCAGACUAGAGUGCGGUAGGGGAGACUGGAAUUCCUGGUGUAGCGGUGAAAUGCGCAGAUAUCAGGAGGAACACCGAUGGCGAAGGCAGUUCUCUGGGCCGUAACUGACG
rnacentral:rRNA from 1 species